rnacentral:snoRNA from 1 species
UCGAGAUGAAUUCUUUAGAUGACGAGUCUGAUCUUAUCGCUGCAAGGUUUCCUUGUAGUGAUAUCUCAUGACUGAAAUCUUUUAUAUUUUUACCAUUCAUGCUUUUCUGAUU